rnacentral:rRNA from 1 species
UAUUGGUGGAGCCAAAUGGACAAGGAAAACAAAAUUCAUUGGAUAAGUUGGGAGAAACUUGUCUUGCCGAAGAGGGAAGGUGGAUUAGGAUUUAGGGAUCUCCAUUGUUUCAACCUCGCGAUGUUAGCAAAACAGGCGUGGAGACUCAUUCAGAAUCCUGACUCAUUAUGUGCUCAAGUCUUAGCUGCGAAGUAUUCCCCCCACGGGAAAAUUCUGAAGGCAACAACUAUGAAGCGCAUAUCAUACUCCUGGCGAAGUAUCUUGAAGGGGGUCAAGGUGCUUAAUGAGGGUGUUAUUUGGCGAGUGGGAAAUGGCUUAAACAUAAAUAUUUGGAAUGAUCCAUGGCUACCGUGA